rnacentral:rRNA from 1 species
UACGUAGGGUGCGAGCGUUAAUCGGAAUUACUGGGCGUAAAGGGUGCGUAGGCGGUUUGGUAAGUCUUAUGUGAAAUCUACAGGCUCAACUUGUAGUCUGCAUGAGAAACUGCCGGGCUUGAGUAUGGGAGAGGUGAGUGGAAUUCCUGGUGUAGCGGUGAAAUGCGUAGAUAUCAGGAGGAACACCUGUGGCGAAAGCGGCUCACUGGACCAUAACUGACGCUGAUGCACGAAAGCUAGGGGAGCAAACAGG